AGUGAAGAGGGAAGAGCUCAAAUUUAAAAUCUGGCAGUGUUUUGCUGUCCGAGUUGUAAUCUAGAGAAGUGCUGCCCGUGCUGGACCAUGUACAAGUCUCCUGGAAUGGAGCGUCACAAAGGGUGAGAAUCCCGUCUUUGACAUGGACUACCAGUGCAUUUGUGGUGUGCUCUCAAAGAGUCGAGUUGUUUGGGAAUGCAGCUCUAAAUGGGUGGUAAACUCCAUCUAAAGCUAAAUAUUGGCGAGAGACCGAUAGCGAACAAGUACCGUGAGGGAAAGAUGAAAAGAACUUUGGAAAGAGAGUUAAACAGUAUGUGAAAUUGUUGAAAGGGAAACGCUUAAAGUCAGUCGUGUCGGCCAGGGAUCAACUCAGCUUUCUCUGCUGGGUGUACUUCCUGAUCUGAUGGGCCAACAUCAGUUUUGACUGCUGGAGAAGGACAGAGGGAAUGUGGCACCUUUGGGUGUGUUAUAGCUCUCUGUCAGAUGCAGUGGUUGGGACUGAGGAUUGCAGCAUGCCGCAAGGCCGGGUCGUUUC
rnacentral:rRNA from 1 species